UGACUCAGUGGUCUGGAGUGAUUGCUUUACAAGCAACAGAAUCUGAGUUUAGAUCUCAG
rnacentral:tRNA from 1 species